rnacentral:lncRNA from 1 species
ACUUUUUGACAGUAAUACUAAACACUUAAAUCUUAAACUAAACUUUUUAAAAGUACUUCUCAAAAUAAUUUUUCAAAAGUACUUCUCAAAAUAACUUUUCCACAGCACUUCUCAAAAGUAAUGCUAAAUUAGCCCUUAAUCACUAUUAAUUAUCUUUAAUCGGCGUGCUUUCCUUAAGCAUAAUAAUUAAUGAUAAUAACACCUAGUAAGAGUAUGAAUAUAUUUAGUGAAUACUGGACAGGUUUCACUCGCCGCACCACGUACAAUUUAAAACCUAUUACUCGUUGUUUAUGCCAUUUUAUGAUUACAUCUAUGGCACAAUGGACAAAUCUAGUGAUAUCUUAUAUGAAAAAUCACUGAGAAGGAAAGAAGAAUCACCCCAUGUGGCGCAUCUAACGCACCUAGCCACACCCGAGUCUAUUAAUCAUCUCCGCCUUGAAUUUGCCCCUUUCGCCUUUAAACCAUACACACCAUCAACUUGGCAUAUGUGGUUCUUUUGGCCUGUCACACCGUGUUCCAUGAUGCUUACCUGGAUAUAUUGUUCCACUUUUGUUGUCGAAAGAUAUCGGUUUCAUAAUAUCAGACUACAGACCUCGGCUAUACCCAAGUACAACAUACAGGUAUAGAUAUCAGCAACAUGACUUUUUAUUUCUUGUUUAAGACACUAAUCCAUCAUAACUAGUCUCUGCUAAAUCUUGUGUUCAUUUCAUUUGUAGUAUCGCUCGAAAUAGCUAAAACAAUCUAUCAAUAACUUGAUUGAAGAAGCCAUAUUAGAGGUAGAGGAAAAAAUGUGCUAGAGUGUUGAGUCUAGGCCUCAUGAACUAGGCAAGUAUUUUGCCCCCAUAAGCAUAUAUAGAUAUCUAUAUAAUAGGAAAAAACCAUGAUGAUGAAAUAAAUGAGCAAGGUGAAGAGCUGAAUAUGUAUGGUGGGGGUGUAUAUUCAAAAGCAUCCCCAACUUAAAGUGAAGUUGGUAGAUGGGAGUAGCUUGGCAGUUACAGUUGUGUUAAAUAGCAUACCCAAGGGAACAACACAAGUGGUCCUUAGAGGCAAGCUGACUAAAGUUGCUUGUGCUCUUGCCUUUGCACUAUGCCAAAAGCGCAUUCAAGUACAUACGUGCAUUAUUAAUUAGAUAACUCCAAUUUCAAACCUCUAACUACUUUUUCUUUAUCAUUUUCAUUUAUGUAUCACCGUAGGUCUUUGUAUUGCAUGAGGAUGAAUAUGAAAAGAUUGAUAAAUUACUUGGCACCAAGUCUGAGGGUAAAUUGGUUCUUUCAAAAAGUUACACUUGUAAGGUACCUAAGCCGGUUCUCAAUUAUCACUUGAAAGUACAAACCUUAUCCUAUUCCUAAUGAAAAUUAGGUUGAAUAUAAUAUUAGACGAUGAAUAAUAUUUAUGUUGCAGACAUGGUUAGUUAGAGAUGGGUUGAGUGAAGUCGAACAAAGGAAGGCAAGCAAAAGAACUCUAUUUAUUCCCUUCUCACAAUUCCCACCAAAGCAAUUGCGGACGGAUUGCUUCUAUCAUACCACACUGAUGCGUCGUUGAGAGUACCAAAAAUAUCCUAUUCCCUUUAAAAUAGUAAAAAUAAUAGUAAAAAUAAUAGUAAAAGGGAAGUAGGGUCGAAUCCUCAGGGACCGGAUUGUACGAAUACUCGUUUCUUGAAAUCCUGGACAAUUUCUUGGCCAAGAAAACCUGCGUUCCUGAAAAAUAAAAAAAAAUAGAAUUAAGAAUCUAGAAAAAAAACAGAAUUUGAAGUGAACUGAAAUUGUGAAAUUAAAUAGAUUGCAGAAGUUAAAAUGGAAAAAUAAUAAACAAAGUUUGAAAAUAAAGAAAGUUUCUUAUGUGGCGAAAUUUCAGCCUCCGGUUGUCACGAUUCGCCUUGGUUUCAAUCCUUGGCUUUUAAGUAGUCCUUCUCGAGAGGAUAAGCCAGUUAUAGUAGAAGAGGACGCCUACGACCACCAGCUCCAAGGAUUUAAACUUAAAAUUUGGCGGAGCCUGACUCUAGCCAAUAAUACUUUUGUGGGACUAUCUUCUGCUAGAUCAUCACUUCCCAACGGCAAAUACCACGCCCUUUUGUCUCUUGGAUUCGCCAACCUCUGACACAGAAAGCCAACGAACCGACUGUGCAAUCUUCCCAAAACGUACAAAAUGGCCGUUCCUUGCACAAGUUGAAAAGAUCACCUAUUAAGGGACAUGGACGGAAGCGUCAACCCCGUAAUGCGGAGAAGUGAUGAAUACCUUGUUGAGAAGGCUAAGCGCGGGUUCUAAGCCUUAUGAACCUUUUUGGGGAAUUUUGACAACUUUCGGCUAGAUUGGUUUAGUGGCUCAUGAUUUUUGGGAAAGAAAUAAAUAUAAUGUAAAUGAGAUUUUUAUUGAAGGAAAUAUGGAGAGAACAAAAAGACAGAGUUUUUGGGAGAGGGAGUGUUUACAGGAAAAAAGAGAUGUCCAAAUAUGUGCCACUCCAUCCCCUAUUUAUAGUACUAGAAAACCUAGUCUAUUUCUAAUGAAAUUCUAAAAGAUAAAUACAAAUAAAUAAAGAUAAUUAAAGAUAAAUAAAGAUAAAUGAAAAUAAAUCCUAAAAUUUAAAUCUAAAUAAAAAUCCUUAAUAAUUAUCCUAAUAUAAUUGAAAUUAAAUUAUAGUCUUGUGCUAUAAAAUCUCUUCUUUUGCAUUGUAGUCCUUGGGUCUUCCAUGUUUGCAUUUUUUGGCACCACUUUUCUCUUUCUUUGCAUGUUGGCCCAUUAUAUCUUCAAAUUGACACUUUUUACCCUUAAAUUUCCUCUUGCCUCCAAUUUAGUCCCUAAAAGAUAAAAGACCAUAAAUAGCCCAAAUUAGUAGCAUCAUACUCAAAAUAAAUAUAUAAUUAGCACAUAAAAAUAUGACGUUCUAGAGUAUUAUCAAAUUCCCCCUACUUAGCCCAUGCUUGCCCUCAAGUAUGGUUCCUAUCCACCGUGAAAAUUAAAUCCUGCCAUGAAAGAAAUUCUACUCCAAAUUUUUAUAAAAAUUAGUCAAAAUGCAUAUGAAAACAAAGAGAACCCUUAGCUUGCUUUAAGUAAAAUUGAAAAAGUAUUCCAAUUAGCACAAACAAAAUUAAGAUUGACUUGGACUAUUUCAUGAAAAUUAGGUAAUUACCAAACCUAUCAAAACACCUUAUUUAUUUCUCCCUUUAGUCCCCAAUUUUAUUAAUGCAUAUUUAUUUAUUAUUUUUUCUCUUUUUUUUUCUUUUUUUUUAAUUUCAACUUUAUUUAUUUACUUUUACUUAGGGAAAAAUAUUGAACCUUUUGACGCGAAGAGAGAUGAUAGUCAAGCACCUCACCCCGGUUACUCAGCCCAACACAUUCUUAGAAAUUAAUUCCGGUUAGCGGAGUUUUACCUAACACGUCACACAACCUUUUGAUGCGAAAUAGGAUGACAACCCAAGCACCCUACCCUAGUUACUCAGCUAGUCACGUCUUAAGCUGCACUCAUAACCACGGAAACAUUAUUAUUAAACGAAAUUUUAAUUUUGGAGGACUUAGGAAAAACAAUCAAGUGUCAAAAAUAAGUUUCAGUAACCACCUUAAUAGUCAUGAAUAUAUUUUAAGCAUGCAAUUAUAUUAAGUGUCCUCUUUGUAUUUAGACUUAAUCAAAUUUACCAAAAUCAGGAUAGGGUUAACUCCAUUAAUCAUAAUUAUUUAAACUAAAAGAAAUAAAACAGUGGAGAUGAAAUCUAUCAAGCAAAAUCAUAAUUAACUCAGUAGAUAAGACUCAUGCAUGUAGGUCAAACAGUGGGCAAGUCGUGGUCAAAUUCUUGGGCAUGAAAAGAGGCAAAAUAUGCUUAAAAAAAUAAAUUAUAUGGGCAGCAACAACCAAAUCAGCAGCUAAAAUGACAGAAAUAAUGAGGAAUGCCUCCCCCUACUUAAAACACAUAGUCCGCGAUGUGGAAUAAAAUAAAAUAGGAGAAAAAGGUGCAGAGGAACUCCCUGUGUAAUUACUGUCAUUCGCGUAUGAUGGCAAUGAGAUCCACUAGUUGCUGGCCAAAAGUGUCGAGUAGGGGUUGUUUGGCUGCAGAUUUGUCGUUCCUCCUUUCUUCCUAUCUUCGUUUCGGUUUACCUAGAAGAAGAUAAUUUUAUUAAUAUAUGAAAAUAAUAGAUAAUAAAAUAAUAAGAUAAAAUAAAUAAAAUAAAAUAAAAUAAAUAAAAUAAAAUAAAAUAAAAUAAAAAUAAAAAUAAAAAUAAAAAUAAAAAAUAAAAAAUAGGUUGCCUCCCAACAAGCGCUUGUUUAACGUCGUUAGCUCGACGUCGUGAAUGGUUCUAUGGUGGCUCUAACUGAAUUUUUUCGACCGUGUGGGACUGGAAAUUUUCGUAAAAUGGCUUCACCCGUUGGCCAUUGACUACGAACUGCUUCCCUGUUUCUUCACUCUCUAUUUCAACUGCACCAUGUGUGAAUACUUGGGUCACAAUAAAAGGUCCUUGCCACCGAGAUCGAAGCUUACCUGGGAAUAGCUUUAAUACGGAGUUAUAAAGCAAAACUUUUUAUCCUACUGAAAAAUGUUUCUGAGCUAUUUUCCUAUCAUGAAACAGUUUUAUUUUGUCUUUAUAAAUUCAAGCAUUCUUGUAGGCAUCAUUGUGAAUUUCCUUCAAUUCUUGAAUGUCCAAUUUCGUUGCCUUCCCUGCGGGCUCUAACUCCAUGUUACAUUGUCGAAUAUCCCAAUAAGCUUUGUGCUCCAGUUCUACUGGUAGAUGACAUGCUUUGCCAAAAACAAGUCGAUACGGGGUCAUGCUAAUCGGGCCCGCAUACGUCGUCUGAUAGGCCCAAAGCGCGUCAUUGAGCUGAAGACUCCAAUCCUUUUGGUUGGGCCGAACUAUUUUUUCCAAAAUGAACUUGAUCUCCCUGUUCUAAAUCUCUACUAGGCCGUUUGUUUGGGCAUGGUAGGCUGUUGCUAUACGAUGAUGAACUCCAUAUUUUGAUAAUAGUGCCUCCAUGACCUUGUUGCAAAAGUGGGUACCACGAUCACUGAUAAAAGCUCAAGGUGUGCCAAACCUAGAAAAAAUAGUUUGUUUUAGAAACUCCAUAACAGUUUUAGCAUUAUCAUUGUGAGUAGGCUUUGCUUCUAUCCACUUAGAAACAUAGUCUACUGCAAGAAGUAUAUAUACGUUUCCAAACGAAGAAAUUAAGGGGCCCAUGAAAUCGAUGCCCCAUACAUAAAAAAUCUUAUAUACAUGAAUUGGGGAUAGGGGCAUUUGAUUUCGUUUAAUGAUGUUACCUGUGUGUUGGCAUUUAUCGCAAGACUUACAGAAGUUAUAUGCGUCGCAAAAAAUUGUGUGCUAAUAUAGCCCACGCUUCAAUACCUUGUGAGCUGUUCGUUUAGGGUCGAAGUGACCUCCACAAGCUUCUGUAUGACAAAAAGUAAGGAUAGAGGUUACCUCAGUUUCUGGAAUACAUCGUCUUAUUAUCUGAUCUGAACAAUAUUUCCACAAGUAUAGGUCGUCCCAAAUGUAAUACCGAGCUUCCCGUCUAAGCUUGUCCUUCAUGGAACGUGCUAACUCAGUGGGUAAUGAUCCUAUGGUUAAAAGAUUAACUAUAUUUGAAUAUCAUGGAUAGUGAGCCUCGGUCAAAAAUAAGCUUUCAUUAGAGAACUCAUCCUUUAUAGGAACAUCAUCAAAUAGAGUUUUUAUCCUACUGAAGUGGUCAGCUACCAAGUUUUCACAUCCUUUUUUGUCACGAAUUUCGAUAUUAAAUUCUUGGAGCAGCAGAAUCCAUCUAAUGAGCCAUAGUUUUGCCUCCUUCUUUGCGAUCAAGUAUCUAAGAGCUGCAUGGUCAGAAAAAAUAAUCACUUUAGAUCCCAAUAAAUAAGAUCAAAAUUUAUCUAAAGCAAAUAAAACGACUAGAAGUUCUUUUUCCGUAGUGGUGUAGUUGCUUUGUGCAGCAUCUAGGGUUUUUGAGGCAUAACAAAUGACAUAAGGUUCUUUGUCUAUCUUUUUCCCUAACACGGCCCCCACACUGUGCUCACUUGCGUCGCACAUAAUUUCAAAGGGGUAGUUCCAAUCUGGUGCUUACACUAUAGGAGCGAUCACCAACUGAUGCUUGAGUGUAUCAAAAGCCUCCUUACAUUUUAGGCCGAACUCAAAUUUCUUAUCUUUUUGCAAUAACUCGCAUAAUGGUUCAGCCACUUUUGAGAAGUUUUUUAUGAAACACCUGUAAAAUCCUGCAUGGACAAGAAAAGAACUAAUUUCCCUUACAGUGGAGGGAUAUGGCAAAGAAUUAAUAAUGUCAAUUUUGGCCUUAUCGACCUCAAUUCCCUUGGAAAAAACUAUAUAACCUAGAAUCAGACCCUUGUCUACCAUAAAAUGACACUUUUCAUAGUUCAAGACAAGAUUAAAUUCUAUGCACCUAUUCAAAAUUAUCGUGAGGUUUUUAAGGCAUUUAUCAAAAUAAUUUCUAUAUACAGUAAAAUCAUCCAUAAAAACCUCAAUAAAUUUCUCCACAUAUUCAGAAAAUAUACUCAUUAUGCAUCUCUGGAAUGUGGCUGGUGAGUUACAAAGUCCACAUGGCAUCCUUCGGUACACAAAAGUGCCGAAUGGACAUGUAAAAGUUGUCUUUUCUUGAUCCUCUGGUGCGACUGGAAUUUGAAAGAAACCUGAGUAUCCAUUAAGACAAUAAAAGUGAGUUUUACCUGAUAAACGUUCAAGCAUUUGAUCUAUAAAAGGAAGAAGGAAAUGAUCUUUUCUAGUGUAAGAGUUCAACUUCCUAUAAUUAAUACAGACACACCACCAAUUUUGUACUCGAGUUGGUACCAAGUCACCUUCGGCGUUUUUCUUUACUGUCACACCCGUUUUCUUGGGCACGACUUGAACCAAACUUACCCAUCUGCUAUAAAAAAUGGGGUAGAUUAUCUCAGCAUCUAGCAGCUUGAUUAUCUCCUUUUUUGCCACCUCCAUCAUAUUCGCAUUUAAUCGCCUUUGGGCCUUUCGCCUCAGUUUUGCGUUUUCCUCCAAGUAGAUUCUAUGUGUGCAUGUCACGGGGCUUAUUCCUUUUAAAUCGGCAAUGGUCUAGCCAAUCGCGUCCUUAUGACUUUUUAGUACCUGGAACAAACUUUCUUCCUCGAGCUUAGAGAGUUUGUUGGAAACUAUGAUUGGUAGGGUAUUACCUUUCCAUAAAAAUGCAUACUUAAGAUGUUCGGGAAGCAGUUUUAAUUCCAAUUCUGGAGCCUGCACAACAGAAGGUAAAAGUUUAGUAUUUGAUGGAGACAAAAACUCAUUAAUAGAUUCAUAGUCAUCAGAUAUAAAUUCAGAUUUAUCUUCAUAAAUCGACUCAAAAGUCUCAUCUACUAAUGAGUCAAUUAUGUCGACACGAUUUACGCUCAAAAUUUCACUUGGAUGACUAAUGGCGUCAUAAACAUUAAACUUCACGAUCUCUCCAUCAAAUUCCAUCGUAAGAGUUCUGCUUCGUACGUCGAUCUUAGUGCUAGCGGUACUAAGGAAAGGUCGGCCCAACAGGAAGUCUGAAGAUCCAGUAGUGUUAUCUUCCUCCAUCUUUAUCACAUAAAAAUCUGCAGGGAAAAUAAGUUCGUUAACUUUUACCAGUACGUCCUUAAGGACUCAUUCGGGGUGUACAAUAGACCUGUCUGCCAACUGAAUUAUAACACCUGUUUUCAUCAGAAAACCCGCGUUAAGUGAUUCAUAAAUAGAAUAAGGCAUAACAUUUAUGGAGGCCCUUAAAUCACACAUGGCCUUUUUGAUCCCCAAAUGGCCUAUUUUGCAUGGUAUAGCAAACAUACCCCUAUAUUUGCAUUUUGCCGACAUUUUUUGCUGUAACACUGUGGAUACAUUCUCACCAACACUUACCUUUUCAUUACCUGUUAGUUUUCGUUUGUUGGUGCAAAGCUCUUUGAGGAACUUGGCAUAUCGCGAAAUUUUUCUGAUGGCAUCCAACAAUGGUAGAUUGAUCUCGAAUCUCCUUGUCUUCUUUACUUUUCCGACAUUAAUUUAAUCGUCCUGGGAAUGGAGGUUGGAUUUUCUACAGUACGGGUUUCGCUAGGACCUGUUCAUCGUUUUCGGGUUUUUCCUGGGUAAUUUCUUGGCCAAGAUUUCUGCCAGGAAUUGGUUCCAGUACCUUUCCACUUUGCAGCGUCACUGCAUUAGCAUUUUGCCUCGGGUUUGGUUCUAUUUGUGACGGCAGCUUCCCUUGAGAACUCAUCUUUUCAAUUGAUGUGGUCAAUUCUCUUAUAGACGCUUCGAUUUUCUGUUGAAAAUCAAGCAUGUUAGCCGCUAAUUUAUUAACCAAAGUUUCUAGAGAAUUAACUAAAUCUCGUAGCUGUUGUGGAACUCGAUUCUGGUAUGGUUGGUUGUAUCGUGGGUUGGCCCCAUAACUUAAGUUAGGAUGAUCCCUCCAUCCUGGGUUAUAGGUAUUAGCGUAAGGGUCGUAUCGCCUUUGUGGUGGCCCAGGAAAAUUUCCCACAACAUCUAAAUAAGCCAUAGUAUCAUCAUUCAAACUGGGACAUGUAUCAGUUGUAUGUUUAGGGGUAGCACAUAUUCCGCAUAACGGUCUGUCUUUGCUUUUUCUGCAACAAGAGAAUUCAAAAUAUUAGCAAUUCUAUCUACUUUAUCUUCUAAGGUUGAAUUACUUAGCUGAUGAACCCUUCUAGGGGGUUCAGGAUUGGCUCAAAAUUGCUGAGAAUUUGUAGGCAUUGUGGAGAUUAAGUCACUUUCUUGUUGUGGAGUCGUGUUGACUAACGCUCCUCCACUCACGGUAUCUACCAUAUUCAUCUCCAUAGGUUUCAGGACUUCAUAAAAGUACUGAAGCAAAGACUGUUUCGUUAUACCGUGUUGUGGGCAACUUGCACAUAACUUCUUAAAUCGCUCCCAACAGUCGUACAGAGUCUCUGCGUCUUUUUUUCCUUAUGCCCACGAUUUCUCUUCUUAAGUCAGCUGCACGCGACGCUGGAAAAAACCUGUUGAGAAAAAAACGAGACAGAUCAGCCUAAGUCGUUACAGAUUCAGGAGGUAAAUAAAAUAACCAUUCCCUAGCAGAAUCUGCUAAGGAAAAAGGGAAAGUGCGCAGUUUAAUUUGAUCCUCAGUUACCCCAUGAGGUUUCAUACUAAGACAAACCAUAUGGAAUUCUUUCAAAUACUUGUGGGGAUUUUCAUUCUGUAACCCCCGAAAAGUUGGCAGUAGGUGGAUCAAGCCUGACUUUAAUUUAAAAUCAAUAUCCAUAAUAGGAUACGCGAUGCAUAGUGGCGGUUGUUCUGUCGGCGCUUCGGCUAGUUACCGAAUUGUCUGAGCCAUAGGUUGAGGUGCUAAAUUAAUGUUUUCAUCAACCCUAGUGUUAAGCACUUCUUCUGAUGAAUCGACUUCUACUUUUUCACCUUCAAAAGUUUGAGUAGGGUUUUCGUUAACCCUAGACUCUGCUUCGUCGUCGAUUUUGAUUUCUGGAGAUGGAUUGCUUUGAGUUCCAACCACCACUGAUCGCUUUUUUCUUAGCUUUUUUUCUUUGCGGUUGGCUCUCGCAGUCUUUUCAAUUUUUGAAUCAAACGCAAGAGUUCCUGGAGCAGAUCUGGUCAAAAGAAACAAAAAAUAAAAUUAGUACGUUACCGAUCCCCAGCAACGGCGCCAAAUUUAAUGCGUCGUUGAGAGCACCAAAAGUAUCCUAUUCCCUGUAAAAUAGUAAAAAUAAUAGUAAAAAUAAUAGUAAAGGGGAAGUAGGGUUGAAUCCUCAGGGACCGGAUUGUACGAAUGCUCGUUUCUUGAAAGCCUGGACAAUUUCUUGGCCAAGAAAACCUGCGUUACUGAAAAAUAAAAAAAAAUAGAAUUAAGAAUCUGGAAAAAAAAACAGAAUUUAAAGUGAAUUGAAAUUGUGAAAUUAGAUAGAUUGCAGAAGUUAAAAUGGAAAAAUAAUAAACAAAGUUUGAAAAUAAAGAAAGUUUCUUAUGUGGCGAAAUUUCAGCCUCCAGUUGUCUCGAUUCGCCUUGGGUUCAAUCCUUGGCUUUUAAGUAGUCCUUCUCGAGAGGAUAAGCCAGUUAUAGUGGAAGAGGACGCCUACGACCACCAGCUCCAAGGAUUUAAACUUAAAAUUUGGCGGAGCCUGACUCUAGCCAAUAAUCACUUUUGUGGGACUAUCUUCUGCUAGAUCAUCACUUCCCAACGGCGAAUACCACGUUGUUUUGUCUCUUGGAUUCUCCAACCUCUGACGCAGAAAGCCAACGAACCGACUGUGCAAUCUUCGCAAAACGUACAAAGUGGCCAUUCCUUGCACAAGUUGAAAAGAUCACCUAUUAAGGGACAUGGACGGAAGCGUCAACCCUGUAAUGCGGAGAAGUGAUGAAUACCUUGUUGAGAAAGCUAAGCGCGAGUUCUAAGCCUCAUGAACCUUUUUGGGGAAUUUUGACAACCUUCGGCUAGAUUGGUUUAGUGGCUCAUGAUUUUUGGGAAAGAAAUAAAUAUAAUGUAAAUGAGAUUUUUAUUGAAGGAAAUAUGGAGAGAACAAAAAGACAGAGUUUUUGGGAGAGGGAGUGUUUACAGGAAAAAAAAGAUGUCCAAAUAUGUGCCACUCCAUCCCUUACUUAUAGUACUAGAAAACCUAGUCUAUUCCUAAUGAAAUUCUAAAAGAUAAAUACAAAUAAAUAAAGAUAAUUAAAGAUAAAUAAAGAUAAAUGAAAAUAAAUCCUAAAAUUUAAAUCUAAAUAAAAAUCUUUAAUAAUUAUCCUAAUAUAAUUGAAAUUAAAUUAUAGUCUUGUGCUAUAAAAUCUCUUCUUUUGCAUUGUAGUCCUUGGGUCUUCCAUGUUUGCAUUUUUUGGCACCACUUUUCUCUUUCUUUGCAUGUUGGCCCAUUAUAUCUUCAAAUUGGCACCUUUUACCCUUAAAUUUCCUCUUGCCUCUAAUUUAGUCCCUAAAAGAUAAAAGACCAUAAAUAGCCCAAAUUAGUAGCAUCAUACUCAAAAUAAAUAUAUAAUUAGCACAUAAAAAUAUGACAUUAUAGAGUAUUAUCACACACUAGCAAUGCAAAUUCCGUUGGCCUUUGAGAAUGUGGAUUCUUGCGAGGUUUGGCCAUCAACAUUUACAUACUCCAUUUUAAUCAUUGUAGAUAUUAAUGUUCAUUCUUUCAUCGCUUGGUUCUACUUUGUUUAGAACUAGUUAUCGAGGAGGGUGAUGAGCAUAUGGUGCAUAGCUGGGUUAGUACAUGCACUGGAAGGCUGGGAGGAACAUAAAUGUGGUUACACCACAUCAAACAUUGAAAACGUUUAGGAAGCAACUCUCAAGCAUGGAUUUCAGCUUCUAAGGUUCUCUACUCAUUUAAAAUCCUAGACAUUUGUCAGCCCCUUCUCUCUCUAUAUAUAUAUCACAUCAUAUCAUACAUUGUGGUCUUCUGAAUUAUGUAAGUAUAGUUUAUCAUAUCUGAUGGUCUUCUGAAUUACAUAAGUAUAGUUUUAACUACUAAUAGCGGACCACACAAUUUGUGAAAUUUUUUUUAUGGUGUAAGUUUAUUACGAUGUUUUGAUGCUUUCAAAAGAUUAUUAAGUAUUUGUAAUUUAUGCUUUAUGGUGUUAUUGAUAUGUGAAAAGUUGUUUGUUGCAAUGAUUUAUACUAACCUUUGGUUAGUUUUUAUAUAUAUAUAUAAUAAAUUUCUAACUGAGUUGGUGUUACAAGUCAAUCGAGCAUCAGUUCAGUUAGGGAAAUUACGAUUUUAAUAUUUUAAUAUUUUUGAUUGAGUUGAGGAGGAGUUAUGGAUAAUUUUAGACAUUGUAUCAUUUAAAAAAAAUGAAUUAGGUUGAAAGUGUAUGCGUAAUUACUUUAAUUCUCACCCUCCCUCUUAAGAAUUGGAAAAUGUAGUUGGUUGCUUCAAUUACAACCAAUUAAAUGGGAUCUGCCAAUUACAAUGGUUACCAAAACAUGUUACACUUAUAAUUACAAGCAAUUACAUCCAAAUUUGAUUACGAUGUAACUUUCCAAACACUACCUUAAAAUUUUUUCAUUUUUACUUUAGAUUCAACAAGAUCCUAAAAUUAAAUAUUUAUAUUAUUGCGUUUUUAAUUUCUAUAUCAUAUUAUUUUUUAAUGUAAUUUAAUAUAUUAUGAUUAAUAAAUACUAUAGUUUUCAACAAAUAAAAACCAAGUUUUUUUAUAUAUCCAUUUUAUAUGAAAAUUAGACUUUUUUUACCUAACAAAUUGUAGUCCCUCAAAAGUUAAACUGGCAUAGAUUACAUUGGUUUACAUUCUUAUUUCAUUAAUAAUACAUAUAUACAUGACAAUCAAUCGUAACUUAUUCUUACCUAUAAGGAGGGGGAAACACAAAUUAACAUACAUAACACUAAAACCAAUGCAUAAGGCCUAAAAAUUAAGCUUUUGAGUUAAUUCCUCCUACCCUUCCUCCAAUUUUGUAUAUUCCUUUCAAAAUACUUGACAAACAACUUAUAAUUCAUUGGGUAGAAGAGAUACCCAAUAAUUAGUCCAUUCACUAACUUAAUUCCAUAUCCCAACAUGAUUACUUUCCACCCAAAUUCAAGCCAUGAAUCUUUAUCAUUCUUUGACAAUGAAGGUGGUAGUAGUGAUGAGCCUUUGAGAUAACAUUUCUUUGAUAAUGGAUUCGUACAUAGUCUUGGGUUGCCCUCAAGUGAGUUGUUUUAGAAUGUGCCAAAUUGUUUGCCUUGUCGUAUAAGUUCGAUUGUAACACCCUAUACCCAACCCGAUCGUCAAGUUUGAGUCACAAGGUGCCACAUUCAUUGCCGAAGCAAUUACGAAUACAAAACAUUUAAUUAGUAAUACAAUUUAUGCAAACAUAGGCUUUUCAGUACAAAAACAUGAUAUACAACUUUUCCUGGAACUUAUAUGAGCCUACGUACACUCUAAAGUUAUUCUGAGAUUGAAAAAAGGACCAAAUUACAAAAUUUCCAAAAUUUCAAUCAUGUAUGAAUACCAUAGCCAGGUACUGAUACCAAUUUGAGCUUCGAUGUUUGGAAAAAUUGAAUAAAAAUCAAUAAUAUCAAUACCUUACUCUAAAGUAUCAAUACUUCACUCUGGUAUCGAUACCAUUUUAAGGUUUGGUGUUUUGAAAAUUAAAGAAAAUCAUCAAAGUAUCGAUACCCUUUCCAAGGUAUUGAUACAUUAUAGAAAAAAUUCAGAAUUUGCAUUUGGUACCUACUUUUUUCCUACUCAUUAUCAACUAUUCCAAAACAUCACCAAAAACAAGUUCAAUACAUACUUAAACAUACUUAAAAACAUGUUCAAAUCAUACCUAAUUAAUAACUUACAUCUUCAUUAUGUAUCUCAACAAUUCAAUAAUUCAUUUAGCCAACAUUUUAUCAUUCAUUAAACAUAUCAUUCCAUAAUUAAGAAAUUCAUGUAAAUAUAUUAACCAAAUACUAAUUUGACUCAUACCAAUUCACAUCUAAUAGUGCCAUUUCAUAUGUCUCAUAUUCAUUGAAGCCAUUUACCAAAUCAUGCUACUUUCAAUCAAGCAUUAACAUUGCCAAAAUUCAACAAGCACAUAAAACACAUAUACAUUCUAAUCACACACCAAACAUGUCAACUUAACUCAUUUGCAAAUCAUACUAAACUGCAUAUAUCAACUUGCAUAUACAUGAUUUUAUUCAUUUGCCAACUUCUAAAUUAGCAUUUUCAAACCUAGCAAAAUACUAAAUUGACUUUACUAGGUACAUGCCAUUUAACUAACAAAAGAAAUUCACCAACUUGUUGAGUUCGAGAUUUUGACUAGAUGCUGAUGUCGAUGCUCGGAAUCUCGUAUAAACCUAACCUAUGCAUGGAAAACAAAACCAUAUACUGAGUAAUAAACUCAACGAUAAAUCUAUCUAUGAUUCAACAAUGUAAAUAAACAUAUGCAACAUGCAACUAUUUCAUUCCAAAUUUUAUCUCAUACCAUUUUAUGAAACAUGUAUUCAUCUUCUCAAAAGCAAGUAUAUAAUAAAUUUACAGCCUAACUCAUUAGAUUUGUAUUCAAGCCAACCAGUUUUAAAGUCCAUUUGGCUCUAUUCAAUUUGUAACAUACCUCCACUCAACCCAAUAUUUGGAUCCAAGUAUGAUGUGUCCUAUUUAAAUUAGACUAAUUUUUAAAUAAAUCACCUAUAAACAAACCAUUCAAUGGAAGCUUAUAAGAUUUGAUGGGUUUAUAAGUAUACAACGUAAGUUAUACUAUUAAUUUUCAAAGGUUUCAAUGUACAUCAUUAGAAUUUUAGAACAAUGUGCAAUCCAUUUGGUGAAUAAGUCUAAGGAGGAAAUUUUCAUUAGAGAAAAUAUGAAAAUUUAACUUCAAGCAUUGAAAACUAAUAAGAUUCUAAAAAUAAAAUAGUAUCUUGUCAACAAUAAAUCGAUUUAAAGAUUAAUUCCAAAUUACAAAUAUAUGCCGUUCCGAGGUCAUUCAUGGUACGGGACUCAACCAAAUGGUUUACGAUUUCAACAGUGCUCUGGUGUAGUCCUUUCAACAAAAGUUCCUUCCUUUAAUCAAGAAGCCUAAGAAAGAAAAAAUAACAGAGUAAGUUCAUAUGAAUUUUGUAAUAGUCCAUUUUUUGGUGGUGUCGAAAACAAUAGUUUUGGGACUAAAAUUUUGACGUGUUAGUUUGUAAAUAUUAAUUAUUUAAUAUUUACAUGUGUUUGAGUGAUGUAGGGACUUGUUGGAGGUAGAAAACGAGCGAGAAUAACAUUUAGGGCAAGGGUAUUGCGGUAUCCAACCCCUAAAAUCGUGAUACUUUCGACAGUAUAGAAGACUAAGGAGACCCUUCAGUGGUAUCUGAUAAACCAUAAAAAAACAUAUUUUAAUCCCAUGCUUAGCAUAUUUUUGGAUGAUUUAUUAUAUAAUUUAGUGAAUUUGAUGCUCCUAAUUCUUUAAUUUCAUGUUUCUAUACUUAGGUGAGCAUAGAGGAACAAAAGGAGUAGAAAAUGGACCAAAAACGGACAAAACGGGCUGGUUUAAAGAUCCACACGCCCAAGACCAUUUCUACACGGGCUGAGCACAUGCCCGUAUGAGACACACGGGCUGGCCACAUGCCCAUGUGGUAGCCCGUUUCGAUAUCGCUCCCUGUUUCCUAAACACACAGAAAAAGCCAAUUUUUAGGGUUUCUGAGCAUUUUGAAGUCUAUAAAUGCAUUCUAGAAGAGAAUCUAAAUUGACACACAGAGUAGAACGCAGAAAAUUACUCGAAGAACGCUGACAGACUCAACUCAGAAGUAGGACCUCCUUCAAGACUGAAGACCUCCAUUCAAUUUGUUUAGAAGUUUUUGGGUUUCUUUAUAUUUUGUUGUUUUCCUAUUUUUGAGAUGUUUUCCUUUCCAAGUAUGAAUUAAAUUCCCUAAAUACCUAGGGAAGAUGAAACCUAUGACAAAUCUUAUUAUUUGAUUUUUCUGAAUUACAUGAAAAAUAUUUGUUCUUGAUCUCAAUUAUGUUUUCUUACCUUCAUGUUUAAUGUUUUCAAGAUAUUAGUUCAUGAUUGAUGUGCUUAUUCAGUGGAGCAAAAAUCCCUGUUUAAGAGUAGAUUUGACAUAAUUGAGUGGAGUUGCAUGCAAUCCAAGAAAUAGGGCAACAUAAAUCUACUGGAUUAGAGUCAAAUCUAAUAGGAGAAUCCACAGAUCGAGUUAAUGGGACGAUAGGGGUUUUAAUUAGAAAGAGAUUUUUAAUUAAUCAACCUAGAGUCAGUUAUUUUUACUCUCGAAGGAGAUAUUAAUAUAAUUUAGAGAUUUCUAUGGAUCAAGUCAAAUGAAUAAGUCGUUUAAUUUAGAUUUAGAAUAAUAAGUAAAGUCUAGUUGGAUUCUUUCCUGGGUAUUGUCUCUCUCAUAAGUUUUCUUUGAUUGUUUUCCAAUUUGCUCUUUGUCGCUUAGUAAUUAGUUUAGUUUAAUUUUAGAUUAAAAACAACCCUUCAAUUUAUAGGCUAGAUAACAAAAAGAUAAUAAUUACUAGUACUUUUAGUUCUCGUGGAUACGAUAUUCCCGACUCAUAGUAGCUAUACUACCAUUCGAUAGGUGUGAUUGCCUUUGUCGUAUUUUAGUUAGUUCGUGACGUCAUCAAGUUUUUGGCGCGUUGCCGGGGACUAAGAUAUUAGGAACGCUAGAUUUUUAUUAAUUUAGCCAUUUUAUUUUGUUGCAUUUUUUUGUGUUAGUUUUAUUUUUAAUUAUUAAUUUUUUUUAUUUACUUCUAGUAGGUUUCUUUAGUUUAUGACUAGAAGAAUUCUGUCGGGACCAUUGCUUUUUGACAGCGAGAUCGAAAGUACAUCUCGCAAAAACUGUAGAGAAGCGAGACAGAGUCGAAAGAGUACACUAGAAAAGCAAGAGGAUGUUAUCACUGAGGAGAUGGUAGAAAAUCAAAAUAAUCAGUUACCUUCUGUGGUUGCUGUAAAUCCUGUAAAUUCAAAUCCUACUCCUCGUACUAUGUAUGAUUAUGUCAAGCCCAAUUUAACUGGGGCUGAAUCGAGUAUUGUUAGACCUGCUAUUGCUGUAAAUAAUUUUGAACUGAAACCUAACACUAUUCAAAUGAUUCAAUAGUUUGUUCAGUUUCAUGGUUUGUAGGACGAAGAUCCAAAUACUCAUUUGGCCAAUUUCUUAGAAUUCUGCGACACUUUCAAGAUAAAUGCCGUUUUUGAUGACGCCAUUCGCCUACGGUUAUUCCCCUUCUCAUUAAAAAAUAAGGCUAAGCAGUGGUUGAACUCCCUACCACGAAGUUCUAUCACUACUUAGGAUCAAAUGACCGAGAAGUUUUUGCUGAAGUACUUCUUACCAGCUAAUAUAGCUAAGCUAAGGAAUGAUAUCUCUUCCUUUGUGCAAAUAGAUUUAGAGACCCUAUAUGAUGCAUGUGAGAGAUAUAAGGACUUAUUGAGAAGGUGCCCUUACCAUGGGUUACCUCUAUGGCUACAAGUUCAAACUUUUUACAACAAUUUGAACCCCUCAACUAGGCAGUUAAUCGAUUUAUCCACCGUUGGUACUUUGAAUAAUAAAACAACUGAGGAGACUUACGAGUUUAUAGAAGAAAUGUCACUGAAUAAUUAUCAGUGGCAAGUUAUGAGGACAAAGUUAAUGAAAGAAGUCGGUGUUUUUAACGUUAAUGUGAUCACCAUGUUGUCAAAUCAGGUAGAACUUUUGAGUAAAAAGAUUGAUGGUUUAUAUGGUUCUACGCAGGUACAUCCGGUGAUGCAAUGCGACGCAAAUGGAGGAGGGAACCAUCCAGAAAGUCGAUCCUACAACUCUAGCGUAGAAGAGGAACAUGUUAACUAUAUGGGCAAUAAUUUUAUACCUUAGAAUAAUCCCUAUAGUAACACUUACAAUGCAUGUUAGAGGAACCAUCCCAAUUUCUCUUGAGGUGGUCAAGGAAAUCAAAGACCACAACCCCCUCCAAGCUUUCAACCCCCUUACCAACAGGAAAAGAAGCUGAACCUUAAGGAGAUGUUGAUGAAGUUUAUUUCAGUGUCAGAAAUUCACUUCCAAAACAUCGAAAUAACACUUAAAAGCAUCGAUUCAAGGGCUCGAGAAUCAAAUAGGCCAGCUGGCUAAGAUAAUUUUAGAAGGACCACAAGGUAGCCUGCCAAGUAAUACCAAAACUAACCCAAGAGAACAACUUCAUACAAUUACUAUAAGAGAUGAAGAAGGGUUCGUUAAACCUAAACUUGAACCGAGGAAAGAAAUUUUGGUAAGUAAAGGUAAGGAUGUGGUGAACUGCAGUGAACAGAAACCGCUAAGUAAAGAAUAUAAACCUCAUGUGCCAUAUCGAAAUGUGACAAGGAAAGACCACACAAACGAAUAAUUCAGUAAAUUCCUUAGACGUUUUAAAAAAUUACAUAUUAACUUGCCGUUUAUUGAAGCUCUUUCGUAGAUGCCAAAUUCUGUAAAAUUUUUGAAAGAACUUUUAGCAAACAAGCGGAAGUUAGAUUAUUCGUCGCACGUGGGGCUAAAUUUAGUUUGCUCAGCUAUCUUACAGAAAAAAUUACCCAAUAAGUUGAAAGAUCUAGAGAGUUUUACUAUUCCUUGUUUAAUUUGUAGUCUAAAUGUGAACAAUGCUUUGGUUGAUUUAGGGGGAAGUAUUAAUGUCAUGCCCUAUAAAAUGUUUAAACAACUAGGUCUUGGGAAACUUAAACAAACUAGGAUGAGUAUCCAAUUGGAAGAUAAAACUAAUAGAUUUCCUAGGGGUAUUGUUGAGGAUGUGCUUGUAAAAAUUGAUAAAUUUAUAUUCCCAGUUGACUUUGUUGUUUUAGACAUGGAUGAGGAUAAUGACCUAUCCUUAAUUCUAGGUCAGCCCUUUUUAACAACUGUUAGAAUGAUUAUUGAUUUUGGUACAGGUGAACUCAUACUUCGUGUAGGCGAUGACAUGAUUAAACUUCAAACUCGUGAUUCUGUUAGGAUAUCUAGUGAUCGAGAUGACAUUACGAGUUCUAUUAAUGUUAAUAACCUUGUGGCUCAACAUUCUUUGUAGGAAACACAUUGAAAAACUGAUAUAGAGCCACAGUCCAGCUCAAGUGUCAAAGACGGAACAAUUCAUGAAGAACGAAGGCUUCAAAUCAAUAAACUAGAUGAAUGGCAGUCACAUAUCAAGGAAAAACCGAGAAUACACGAUGAAAAACUGAAGCAACUCCUUGACAAGCUUAAGAAUGGAAUGAACUACUUCAAAGUUGGGGACCAGGUGUUAUUAGAUGGAACCGACCCUUGAAUAAUCACUUCAAAGCUUAAAGCAAACGGAGCAACUCCUUUUACGGUACUCAAUGUCUUCCCAUACAGUACAGUCGAGGUAACCCAUUCCCAUUUCAGCACUUUUAAGGUAAAUAUUACUCGAUUUGUGUAUCAUCUCAUUUUAUAGUGGUGGAGAUUUGAUUUUCAUGCAAGCCUAUGGUAAUAACUUUUCAUGUUUUACUUUUGAGAGCCUAAUUUUUUAACUUUAAACACUUUGAGUGAUUUGAGUGAACCUUUAGUGAGAAUGUCAAAUCUUGUCAGUUUUGAAUUAAAGGUAACUAUUUAGAUAAGGGGAAAUACCUAUAUUUUCAUGCUUUAAAAAUAUUUGACUUAGAUUGUUUGAAUCUUUAGUGCUUUUUUAGUUGAAUUAUCAAUGUGUGAUUAUUUGUGAAUUAUGAUAAAACAUUAUUGAUGAAAAUUAUGAAUUGAGAAAGUUUAAUUUUAAUUGUGAGUUGAGGAUUUUGCUUGAGGACAAGCAAAGCUUAAUAACAAAUUUUAAUCCCGUGCUUAGCUUGUUUUUAGAUGAUUUAUUAUAUAAUUUAGUGAAUUUGAUGCUCCUAAUCUUUUAAUUUCAUGUUUCAACACUUAGGUGAGUAUAUGGGAACAAAAGGAGCGAAAAAUGAACCAAAAAAGGACAAAACGAUAUGAUUUAAAGAUCCACACGACCAAGACCAUUUCCACACGGGCUGGCCACACUCCUACGUGGCAACUCGUGUCGAUAUCGCUCCCUAUUUCCCAAAUAAGCGGAAAAAGCCAAUUUUUAAGGUUUUUGAGCAUUCUAAAGUCUAUAAAUGCAUACUAGAAGAGAACCUAAAUUGACAUGCAGAGUAGAAUGCAGAAAAAUUACUCGAANNNNNNNNNNNNNNNNNNNNNNNNNNNNNNNNNNNNNNNNNNNNNNNNNNNNNNNNNNNNNNNNNNNNNNNNNNNNNNNNNNNNNNNNNNNNNNNNNNNNNNNNNNNNNNNNNNNNNNNNNNNNNNNNNNNNNNNNNNNNNNNNNNNNNNNNNNNNNNNNNNNNNNNNNNNNNNNNNNNNNNNNNNNNNNNNNNNNNNNNNNNNNNNNNNNNNNNNNNNNNNNNNNNNNNNNNNNNNNNNNNNNNNNNNNNNNNNNNNNNNNNNNNNNNNNNNNNNNNNNNNNNNNNNNNNNNNNNNNNNNNNNNNNNNNNNNNNNNNNNNNNNNNNNNNNNNNNNNNNNNNNNNNNNNNNNNNNNNNNNNNNNNNNNNNNNNNNNNNNNNNNNNNNNNNNNNNNNNNNNNNNNNNNNNNNNNNNNNNNNNNNNNNNNNNNNNNNNNNNNNNNNNNNNNNNNNNNNNNNNNNNNNNNNNNNNNNNNNNNNNNNNNNNNNNNNNNNNNNNNAAAAGAAAUUUAAUUAUUUUAUUUAUUCAAUAAAAUUAAGUAAAUGUGUUAUUGGGAAUAGAAUUUCAUUUUUCUUUUUACUAUGUAAUGAUUAGGAAUGUGGGAUAUAUAUAUGAAUAGAUUCAAAAGUUUGUACAACAGUUUAAUAACAAAAAGUUACUUUUAACAUUAACAUAACAUACUUUAAAAAAUUACCCAAGUUACCUCAAAAUCAAAACCCUGAAUUGAAAUAAAAAUACCAAAUUCAAAUAGUUUAAACAUAUAAAUAUAUAUGAUUAUCAAUGUUUGAUGAAAAUAUAUUUAAAAUAAUUAAAUCUAUUUUCAUUUUUCUUGUUAGUACUAGGUGGAUUAGUUCAUUCAUGUAGUAGAUAUUUGAUACAAUGGUUAACAUAAUUGAAUCAAUGCACUUAACAAGAUAUUGAUUAAAAUUUUAAACCCCAUUUUAAUGGUAAAAUAUCAUGGUGUCAUAGGGUUGCAAAUGCUGGCCCUCAUCACUGUUCAAAGUUCAUAAAGUUAGAAACGUCUAAUGAAAAUUUCUUGGCCAAUCAGUUCCAUUGGCUAGAUGGUUUGACCCAUAUUAUCAGAUCUGUUUGUUUUUAGCCUAUUGUCUGUAAUGUCUGUCAAUGAGUUUCUUCUUAUAAACUUCUUUGAUUCUUAGGCUCAGAUGUGAACGACUAAAACAUUUGCUUCCCCCAUUUUCUUUUUCCUAUUAUAUAUUUUUUUUAACACUUAACUUAGGUUGGAAACUUCUCUUAUCACAUUACUUGUUAAGGCUAGAGGCCAAAGUUUACUUCUUGCUAAUAUCAACAAUCUUUUACAACAAGAUUUUGUUGUGCUGCAACAAUCUGUUGACCAAUAUUUUCAUGAUUAGCUUUUGCAAACACUGCAGCUUGUAAACUUUUACUUAUGUCUAAAUAUGGAUGUCAUUUCUAUCCCUUUUUGUAUAUCUAGGAAAACUGACAUGAAGUUUAUUUUGACUGGAUUAUAAAUAUAUGUAAUGUAAAAACAUUUGCAACAACUACUACAUAUUUUUGGGCUGAGAAGUUUAUUUUGACUGAAUUAUAUCGCAAAACUGACAUGAAGUUUUACUAAGGAUUACUCACAUUAUGCCUUAUAUCAAUUUUCAAUUUAGAUGGUUGUAGUUUGAAGAUGAUCUAUUUUGGUACAAAUCAAUUGGAUUUUGUUGACAUUUAAUUUUUAAACUUUUUCAGGGUCAUUCUUCUGUAUCUGUUUCUCAGACGCAAGUAAGUUUUAUUAUUAAUUAAUUUUACAUUUAUGUUCUGUGUAUUGAAUCUAAUUUGAUAAAUCAAUGCAUUCCAGGGAGCAAUUGAAAAAAUGAUCAGCCAUUCAGAUUGAUAAUUUUUGUAUCAGUUUGUUAGCAUCCUUAUCAAGUAUCAAAUGCCUAUCUGUUACUUCUUGUACACUGCAGGUUGGUUAUAUAAUUCCUUAUUGUUUGGGUUAUUCUGUCAAGAUUUACUUAGUAUUUGAAUUAAUUUUGUACAAAAAUAUUUUUUUGACUGCUUUUAACCAACACCUAAUUUUUUCUUCCCUAUUUUUGUACUAUGACGAUUGUUAAUAAAUUUAAUUAUUACUAUAAUAGCUAUAUGAAGUAAUAUAUAUGAAGUAAAAUUAUAUUGUAUACUAAAUAUUGUACAUAUACUAUAAUUCCUUGUGUUUUGACUUUUAGGAUAUAGUUCCAUGUGUCUAUAUUAGUGAAUUAAUGUUGUAUAUGUUUCAGUUACUGCUUCCUGCUCCUCCUGCAACUAUUGGUUCAACUAAAGCUGCCAUUUAAUAUUCGAAUUAAUAUUUGGUACUGAUAUAGAUAAAGUUUUCAUAUUUGCUUAAACUGAAAUAUAUUUGGUGCUACUCUUAUAAUCUUACAUGUGUCUGUAUUAGUGAAUUAAUGUUGUAUGUAUUUCAGUUACUGAUUCCUGCUCCUCCUGCAACUAUUGGUUCAACUAAAGCUGCCAUUUAAUCUUCGAAUUAAUAUUUGGUACUGAUAUAGAUAAAGUUUUUAUAUUUGCUUGAACUGAAAUAUAUUUGGUGCUACUCUUAUAAUCUUACAUGUGUCUGUAUUAGUGAAUUAAUGUUGUAUGUAUUUCAGUUACUGAUUCCUGCUCCUCCUACAACUAUUGGUUCAACUGAAGCUGCCAUUUAAUCUUCGAAUUAAUAUUUGGUACUGAUAUAGAUAAAGUUUUUAUAUUUGCUUAAACUGAAAUAUAUUUGGUGCUACUCUUAUAAUCUUACAUCUGUUCUAGGUACUAUCGAGCACCUGAAUUAAUAUUUGGUGCAACUAAAUACACCACAGCCAUUGACAUUUGUUCUAGGUACGUAUAGGUUUCGUUGCUAAAUUUUUUUCCUUAUUUCUAUGCAUUUUCACUUUAAAUCACUUAACAAAUAUUACUUUUUUGACUCCAGCCUCUGUUUGCUGGUGAGAGUGGAGUAGACCAGGUACGUUUUAUUAAGGUACGUUUUAUUUCAAAAUUCUAAUCAAUAAUAGUUUUAUCAUGAUGAUUUUGGAAAAAUUAAUAUUUUGGGGUUGCGAUUUUGUAAAGAUUUAAUUGCUGGUUCUGUUUGGAGCAGAACUAUUUUGUUACCAAAUUAAAUUUAAAUAUUGGUUCAACUUAUUUAUUAUUUGAUUCAGCUUAAGUAUGAAUAAGUAUGAAUUAAUUUUAUUACCGUGUAGCUUGCUUGUCCAUUAAAAUUACAACAAUAGCUGACCUUCUCUCCAACCUUAUUUUAAAUAUUUUAAAGAUUCAAAGUAUAUAGGCUGGAAACCUGACGGGUUGCCUUAUAUCGAGCUGCAAGAUACAAUGGAUCCUCCCUAGGUGUAACAACGCCACGUAUGAUGAAUCUUAAAAAAUUCAAAAAGACUUGAAAAUAGUUCUAUCGAGCUCAUUUACUAUUGAAUAUUUAUUUCCAAUUUACUUAUAAAAAUUAAACUACGAUUCUUUUAUUAUUAUAUUCAAAUUACUAUUUUUUAUAUUAAUAAUGUUUGAUUUUAAUAUUUAAAUAUUUUAAAGAUUCAAAGUAUAUAGGCUGGAAACCUGACGGGUUGUCUUAUAUCGAGCUGCAAGAUAUAAUGGAUCCUCCCUAGGUGUAACAACGCCACGUAUGAUGAAUCUUAAAAAAUUCAAAAAGACUUGAAAAUAGUUCUAUUGAGCUCAUUUACUAUUGAAUAUUUAUUUCCAAUUUACUUAUAAAAAUUAAACUACGAUUCUUUUUUAUUAUUAUUAUAUUCAAAUUACUAUUUUUUUAUAUAAUAAUGUUUGAUUUUAAUAUUUAAAUAUUUUAAAGAUUCAAAGUAUAUAGGCUGGAAACCUGACGGGUUGCCUUAUGUCGAGCUGCAAGAUAUAAUGGAUCCUCCCUAGGUGUAACAACGCCACGUAUGAUGAAUCUUAAAAAAUUCAAAAAGACUUGAAAAUAGUUCUAUUGAGCUCAUUUACUAUUGAAUAUUUAUUUCCAAUUUACUUAUAAAAAUUAAACUACGAUUCUUUUUUAUUAUUAUUAUAUUCAAAUUACUAUUUUUUUAUAUUAAUAAUGUUUGAUUUUAAUAUUUAAAUAUUUUAAAGAUUCAAAGUAUAUAGGCUGGAAACCUGACGGGUUGCCUUAUAUCGAGCUGCAAGAUAUAAUGGAUCCUCCCUAGGUGUAACAACGCCCACAUAUGAUGAAUCUUAAAAAAUUCAAAAAGACUUGAAAAUAGUUCUAUCGAGCUCAUUUACUAUUGAAUAUUUAUUUCCAAUUUACUUAUAAAAAUUAAACUACGAUUCUUUUUUUUAUUAUUAUAUUCAAAUUACUAUUUUUUAUAUUAAUAAUGUUUGAUUUUAAUAUUUAAAUAUUUUAAAGAUUCAAAGUAUAUAGGCUGGAAACCUGACGGGUUGCCUUAUAUCGAGCUGCAAGAUAUAAUGGAUCCUCCCUAGGUGUAACAACGUCACGUAUGAUGAAUCUUAAAAAAUUCAAAAAGACUUGAAAAUAGUUCUAUCGAGCUCAUUUACUAUUGAAUAUUUAUUUCCAAUUUACUUAUAAAAAUUAAACUACGAUUCUUUUUAUUAUUAUUAUUCAAAUUACUAUUUUUUUUAUAUUAAUAAUGUUUGAUUUUAAUAUUUAAAUAUUUAAAGAUUCAAAGUAUAUAGGCUGGAAACUUGACGGGUUGCCUUAUAUCGAGCUGCAAGAUAUAAUGGAUCCUCCCUAGGUGUAACAACGCCACGUAUGAUGAAUCUUAAAAAAUUCAAAAAGACUUGAAAAUAGUUCUAUCGAGCUCAUUUACUAUUGAAUAUUUAUUUCCAAUUUACUUAUAAAAUUAAACUACGAUUCUUUUUUUAUUAUUAUAUUCAAAUUACUAUUUUUUUAUAUUAAUAAUGUUUGAUUUUAAUAUUUAAAUAUUUUAAAGAUUCAAAGUAUAUAGGCUGGAAACCUAACGGGUUGCCUUAUAUCGAGCUGUAAGAUAUAAUGGAUCCUCCCUAGAUGUAACAACGCCACGUAUGAUGAAUCUUAAAAAAUUCAAAAAGACUUGAAAAUAGUUCUAUCGAGCUCAUUUACUAUUGAAUAUUUAUUUCCAAUUUACUUAUAAAAAUUAAACUACGAUUCUUUUUUUAUUAUUAUAUUCAAAUUACUAUUUUUAUAUUAAUAUGUUUGAUUUUAAUAUUUACGAUUCUUUUUUUAUAUUAUUAUAUUCAAAUUACUAUUUUUUAUAUUAAUAAUGUUUGAUUUUUUUAUUACGAUUCUUUUUUUAUAUUAUAUGUACUUAAGAAAAGAUGACUUGUAAAACAUAAAUUAAAUUAAGUGUGGACUAUUUUAACUGCACAUGUGAUUUGUCAAAUAAAAACGAACGACAUGUAUAUCACUUAAUUAAAAUAAUUUUUAUAAUAUUAUUUAAUUAAAUAUUAUUUAAUCCUGCUACUUACCUGUAGAUACUUGAUACUUGAUAUGUAUUAUCCAUGUGAUUUUCCACAUCGUGAAAUAAAAAACUUACAUAAUACAUAAAUAUUUGAUAUCAUAAUUAUAACUUAUAUAACUUAGAUAAAUAUAUAACUUACAUAACUUACAUAAUACUUAAAUAUAUUUUAUAUCAUAAUUUACAUAAACUUACAUAACUUAUAUAACUUAGAUAAAUAUAUAAUUUACAUAAAUAUAUAUCAUAUCAUAACUUACAUAAUACUUAAAUAUAUAUCAUAUCAUACAUAACUAAUUUACGAAAUUUACUUAACUUACAUAAUACAUAAAUCUAUAGUUGAAAAUCUCGCAACUUGCCUGAAUUAGUUUAUACCCAUUAGAGACCUGAUAUUUAGUAUAAUGGGAAGAAGUUCUCAAUUGAGAACAUUUAAGUAACUGUAAUAUGUUGUGAAAUUUAGAUUUCAAGAACUACAAAAUGGAUAGGAGUUGGAUGAAAUUGUCAAGGGUAAGCAAUGCCUAUCAAAAUGGAGUACAAACUUUUCUAAAUUUUGCAUUUCAAAAUGCAAGCCAAGAGAAUAUGAUUCUUUGCCCGUGUAAGAAGUGUGGCAACAUCUACUGGCAUACUCGUGAAGUUGUCUACGAACAUCUAAUUGUUGAUGGCUUUAUUCGGGGGUAUAAAAAAUGGAUUUUCCAUGGAGAGUGUACAUCUAGUGGAACUUCUUCAACGAUUAAUCCGACUUAUCCUGAUACUGAUUACCAUCAGUAUGUUAGACAAUAUGACAUGGAAGGUAUGUUGCGGGAUGCAUUUAAUAUGCACAGUCAUGGUGAGCAAUCGUUUCCACCUGACUUUAUUGCAUCCGCUGAUUGUAAUAUUGGUGGAAAUGUUUUUGGCGAAACGGGAACAAGUGCACCUAAUGAGGAGCCAAAUGAAGAAGCGGCUAAGUUCUACAAUUUACUUAAUGAAAUGAAUGAAGAACUUUACGAGGGAUCAAAAUAUUCGAAAUUGCCCUUCUGCAUUCAUCUAUUUCACUUAAAAUGUUUGGGAGGGUGGACCGGAAACUCUUUUACAAUGCUGCUAGAGUUUCUAAGAGAGAUGUUUCCAUUUGCAAAAAUUCCCCAGUCUUGUCAAGAUAUGAAGAGACUAAUAAAAGAUUUGGGCCUUGGGUACGAUAAAAUUCAUAGUUGCCCAAAUGACUGCAUGUUGUACUGGGGUGAUCAGAAAAACCAACAAUCUUGUCAUGUUUACGGUAAGUCUCGUUGGAUGAAUAGUAAUACAGAAGAUAUGAAUACGGAUAAAGGUGGGGCACAGUUAAGAAAGAAGCCAGUCAAGGUCUUGCGAUAUUUUCCCCUGAUACCAAGACUUCAAAGACUUUUCAUGUCCUCAAAGACAGCCGAAUCUAUGACGUGGCAUAAUGAUCAACGGACCGAUGAUGGAUUAUUAAGACAUCCUGCAGAUUCUUUAGCUUGGAAAUCAUUUGACAGUAAAUUUCCAAGCUUUGCAAGCGAUCCUCGGAAUGUGAGGCUUGGGCUAGCAGCUGAUGGCUUUAAUCCAUUUAAAAUCAUGAGUACUUCGUACAGUACUUGGCCUGUAGUGCUUGUUCCUUACAAUUUGCCUCCAUGGAUUUGCAUGAAGCAAUCUUCAUUUAUUUUAUCAAUGAUUAUCCCUGGAGAGAAAGGUCGCAGAAAUGAUAUUGGCAUCUAUUUGCAGCCACUUAUUGAAGAGUUAAAACAAUUAUGGUCGGGUGUUGAGACAUAUGAUGUAUCGAGAAAGGAGAACUUUAAUUUACGUGCAGCUUUAUUGUGGACAAUUAAUGAUUUCCUGGCUUAUGCUAAUUUAUCAGGUUGGAGUACCAAAGGACGUUAUGCCUGUCCUUGUUGUGCUGCGCAAACUUGUUCGAAGUGGUUGUAUAAUGGGAAGAAGUUCUCUUACAUCGGCCAUCAUCGGUGGUUAGAUGAAAAUCAUAAAUUUAGAUUUCAGAGGACUCUAUUUGACGGUACUAAAGAGUACAGAGGAGCUCCUGAGUAGACCGUUGGAUCUGAAAUCUUGUUUAUGUUAAAAGAUAUCAACUUUAGUUACGGGAAGAUGAAUCAACCACCUAUCACGCAAACAAGGAGAAGAUCAAGGGAUGAAUCUGAUGAUGAAUCUGACGAAGAGGAUGAUCCUAAUGAGGCGGAGUUGUGGAAGGAAAGGAGUAUUUUUUUUGAGUUGCCUUAUUGGGAGCACAACAUUUUACGCCACAAUCUUGAUGUCAUGCAUAUUGAGAAGAAUGUCUGCGAGAACAUAAUUGGGACAAUUUUAAAUGUCGAUGGAAAAUCUAAAGACAAUCUUCAGAGCUGACUUGAUUUAGUUGACAUGAGAAUCCGGCGUGAUCUUCAUCCUCAAGUACUUCCGAAUGGGAAAUAUCGGUUGCCGCCUUCUAUUUUUUCAAUGUCAAAGAAAGAGAAAGAAGUUUUCUGCAUGGUGUUGAAGGAUAUAAAGGUCCCAGAUGCGUAUGCGUCAAAUAUAUCUCGAUGUGUGAGUUUCAAAGAUAGAAGAUUAUAUUCAUUAAAAUCACAUGAUUACCACAUAUUGAUGCAAGAUUUACUCCCAAUUGCUUUACGGUGCUGUAUGUCAAAAAAUGUAACGUCCUGUAUAAUUGAACUAUCCAAUAUAAUGAAAGCUAUCUGUGGCAAAGUUUUGAAUGUCGAAGAACUUGAGAAAGUACAGGAUCGAGCGGCUUUGACUUUAUGCAAUUUAGAGAAGAUCUUUCCACCUUCCUUCUUCACUAUUAUGGUGCACUUGGUAAUCCAUCUCCCUCACGAAGCAAUCCUUGGUGGACCGGUUUUUUAUCGAUGGAUGUAUCCUAUAGAAAGGUGCUAAUUUAUUUCUCAAGUAUUCAUUCAUUCACCUCUAUACAUUUAGUUACAACUUUUGAUAAAUAUUGUAUAUCGUGUUUAGGUUCCUGAGCAAAUUGAAGUCAUAUUGUCGCAAUAAGCGUUAUCCAGAAGGAUCAAUUGCUGAAGGCUACUUGGCAGAAGAGUGCAUGACCUUCUGUUCUAGAUAUUUAGAAGAUGCUGAAACACGAUUGAAUAGACCAAGUAGAAAUGCUGGGCUCAAUGAUCAUGACUUGGCCGAAACUUAUAUAUUUCAAAGUUAUGGAGAACCAAUCGGCAAAGUUGAAAUUGCAGAAUUAGAUGAUAUAUCGUGGAUACAGGCACAUCGAUAUGUACUUUUUCACCACGAUUCAAUUGAACUGUUACGCAAGUAAGUUCUAAAAUUUCCUCACAUAUUUGUCGUUUUGAUUUGUUUAUCUUCUAACCAAAUACACUUGUUUUUAACAUAGUGAGUACAAACAAAUUUUGAGAUCUCGUGCACGCUCUCGAAGAUUGCAACAUCGAGAGAUUAAUAAGUUAUUCACAGAAUCUUUUCAUGAAUGGUUAAGUCAAACGGUAUGUAACUAAAGUUAAUAAGUUACAUAUAAUCCCGAAAUUUAGUUAAUUAUUCAAUUUACUUUCGAUUCAAUAGGUUUGGAGUGGAAAGGACGUCAAUGAUGAAGUUAAAUGGCUUUCCCAAGGUCCGAACAGAAUAAUAAAAAGAUAUAGUGCUUUCCUCAUCAAUGGAUACAGAUUUCAUACAAAGUAUCGUGAGAGAAUGAGGAGAACUCAAAAUUGUGGAGUUGUUGUUAAUUCUUCAAUUACGAGUUAUGCUAGUGCUAGGGACAGUAAUCCGGUUGAGGGUAAUGUGGAGUAUUACGGACUUAUUACCGACAUUAUUGAGUUGGAUUACUAUGGCAGAUGGAAAGUUGUCUUAUUUCGGUGUGAUUGGGCUGAUGUUAAUACUGCUCGAGGAAUUAAAGAAGAUCAAUUUGGUUUUACAAUGUUGAAUUUCUCUAGCUUGAUUCACACUGAACAACAAUUGAUGGACGAGCCUUAUGUAUUUCCCUCUCAAGUGAAACAAGUUUUUUAUUCGAAAGAUCCAACUGAUGAGGGUUGGUAUGUUGUACUCCGGAACACCCCUAGAGACUUGUUUGAAAUGGGUAAUGGAAGUAGAGAUGACAUCGUUGAAAGAUUAGAAACAUUACCUUUUCCAGAACAAAACUUAGAUGAAAAUAUCCCUAGUACUAAUACACAACAUCAAUGGGUUCGACAUGAUGUGGAUGAAGAUAUUUACGAAUAAUCAUGUAGUAAGAUUUUACAAUUUUUAAAUUAUAUGUAAUAUUAUAAUUUUAAUCUUUAUCAUGUUAUAUAAUUUAACUAUUUUAUAUGUACUACUAUUGUUGUAAUUUGUUACUAAAACUUUAAUUAUUUUAUGUGUUUUGCAGGAAAAAUGCGUAGAAGAAGAGUACGAGAUUUAAGUAUUGUCCAGAAUACUCCAAAUUCGGAAGAAAGAAAUAGUGAACAGCAGACAGUUGUUGGAUCUUCGAAUGUGCCAGAGACACUUGAUGAGCCUGAAGAAUUUCAAAGUAAUAUUAUGUUCAUUUUACAUGUGUUGACUUUUAUUAUUGAAUUAUUUGUCAAUUUUAAUAUAAUAAUAGUAUAUCAUUUUUCAGCUGAAAGUGGUGGGACGCGCAGAGUUCGAGGACGUACGCUACUUAGAGAUUUAUACGACUUAGAUCCUGUCGAGCGUGUUAAAGUAAGUAGAAAUACUCAUGGUCAGCCUGUUGGAUCUGAAGCUCGACUUUUAGCAGGCUAUUUGGGCAUUUUAGCACGAAAUGCAAAUAUGUUGCCCAUCAACUACGAAUCAUGGCAUCACAUGCCUGAUAGCAACAAAAACCAGGCUCUCGCUAAUAUUAAGGUAACAAAAUGUGAAUGCAAUUUAUAAUACUUUGGUUUAAGUUUCAUUUAUAUUUACAUUCUAAACUUAUGUUUUUUUAGGAGAGAUUUGCUUGAGAAGUCUCCGAUGAUUAUAUCAAGAAGGCAUUAGGUAAAAGAUGGAAAGACAAUAAAAGCACUUUAAAGAAACAAUAUUUUAAGAAAGACAUAAGCCUCGAGGAAAAACUGAGAAAUGUUCCGCCAGGAAUGCUGAGGUAUCAAUGGGAAGAUGCGGUUAGAUUUUGGAAUUCAAAGAAAGGAGAGGUAUUGCGUAUUUCCAAACUCUUAUAUAUAGUGUUUACUAUAUACGUAAUAAUAAUUUUAUUAUGUAGGACCGUGAGCGAGUUGGAACAAGCAGCAGGCAAAAACAAAAAUUCACGCACACGGCAGGGUCGAGAAGUUUUGCUUCUGUAGCUGAGGCCGAGGUAUUAUGAAUUUAUUAAUUCUUUCAAAUAUUAAUAACUUUCUAUUAUUAAAUAAUAUUCUUACUACUAUAUUGUAGGAAGUCAAAUCCGGACAAAAAGUUGGACGCCUUCAGCUUUUUGAGAUUACGCAUAGGAAGAAAGAUGGAUCUCCUAUGACAUCCGAAACUGGAGAAAUUAUGGUAUAUUCAUUUAAUAAUAUUUGAUUUAUUCUAAAUAUUUAUAAUCUUUAAUUAUAAUUGUUUAAUUCAAUUCAUCAUUAGUAGUUUUAAAAAAUGUUAAGUUAUGUUGCAUUUCUUUUUAUUAUAUAUUUCGUUUCUAAUUCUUUAAUUGAUUUUUUAGGAGAAACUAAAGGAGAAGAAGGCGGAAUAUGAAGCGAUUGCUUCGAGUGAUAGUUCUGUUAAUCUUGAGAACAUUGAUAACAGAAUUAUCACUGAAGUUUUGGGUCCUGAAAGGUACGGUCGGGUUCGAUUUCAAGGAUCUGGUGUUACCCCGACCCAAUAUUUUGGAUCCGGCUCCCAGCAAUACAUGCCUUCCGGAAGUCAAGCUCAAGCUGAAGUUCAGAGGUUAAGAGACCAGAUAGCUCAGAUGCAAGCGAACACGGUUGAGCAAAUUGCCGAGGUUCAACGAAAAUAUGAAGAACUCCAGCAACAACUUAGAGCGGAGGCAGCAGAGAGGGAGGCAGCGGCUGCAGCGAGAGAGGCAGAGGCACGAGCGAUGGUAGCAGAACAGAGCAAAAAGUACGAUGACCUCCAGCUACAGCUUCAGCAGAUGAUGCAUAUGUUUCAACAAUCGCAAAAGCCGCCGUCUUAGACAUUAGUUUUCUUAUUGUAAGAAAUUUUUUUAAGUUUUGUCACGUUUAACAUUAUUGUAAAAAUAUUUUAAAUUAUACUUUAUUUAUUAAUUAUAUCAUAUAUCUUUAGUUAAAUUUGAAGUAUCAUUUAGAAUUAAUGUUUUUGGUUGUAUUUUUUAUGUUAAAUUUGCUGUUUUUGGCUGCAUUUUAUAUUAUAUUUGUUGUAUUUGGUUGGAUUUUAAUGCAGGAAGGGCUGGAUAUUGGUGAAAAAAAAUAUUACAAAUCUGCCAAAAUUAGCGGCGUUUGUAAAAAAAGCGCCGCUAAACGCCUUGACCUUUAGCGGCGCUUUUCCCCCAAACGCCGCUAAAAGCCUUGACCUUUAGCGGCGCUUUUCCCCAAACGCCGCUAAAAGCCUUGACCUUUAGCGGCGCUUUUCCCACAAACGCCGCUAAAAGCCUUGACCUUUAGCGGCGUUUUUUCCCAAUAAACGCCAAAAAUUUUUGUGGCGUUACAUAUAGCAGCGUUUUUUGCGGCGUUUUAGAAAGCGCCGCUAAAAGUUUUAGUGGCGCCUAAAAGCGCCGCUAAAAGUCUAUUUUCCUGUAGUGUAUACACAUAUCAAUACACUUAUUACUUUAAUAGACUUUUUAUUUUAAAAUACUUUUUGUUUUAUGAUUUUUUUAAUAUUCUCUUUAUAUAUAUAUGAAAUUAUUUUUAGAAACUUCCUUUUUGUAAUUUUAAAAUUAUUAUUUUUGAAUAUUUCUUUAUAUUAUAUUACUUAUGUGUUUUAUAUGGCCUAUCAUUUAAAUGUUUUGAUAUAAGGAUAUGUGUGGUUUUUAGGCCAACUUAAAAUUUAUAUGUACGUUUUUGGGCAUUAUGUUUUGUCAUGUAUUUUUUUAUAUCAUAUUUUUUUUAUUAUCAUGUAUUUUGUUAACUUCUAAAUAAAUUCGUGUUUAAAAUAUUUUACGUGCAAUUUGAUUCAAAUUUUUAUUCUAUAAUAUCUAUUCCAAAAAUCAUAUAGCUACCCAUAGUUCUCACGCAAAUUUGUCAACCUAUAUAUGGGUCCAUUUAUUCGUUAUUAUUUUAAAAACGUUUUAUAGCACAUUGACUUCUAAGUGCUAUGUUGUUUUUAUAUCUUGCAUUGGUUAUUCUAUAUCAUGCUAUGUAUAUUAUUGUGGCAUAUUAUUGUAUGUAUUGUUUUGCUUGUAUGAUUGUUAUAUUAUCAUUUUCGUUAUUGUAUUAUUAUAUCAAUUAUCCUCCAUGUACUAUUGUAAUCGGGUUGCAUUUUUAGGUUAGCUAUAUUUAAUUAUUAGUUUGUUAAUUGAUUGUAUCUCGUAUGUGCCGGUUAUCCCAUAUCAUCAUUUUUCACUCGGUUUGCGAGAUGUGGUUUUUAUAAAAUUCAAAUCUUUAUGAUUAACUUCGUCUCAUUUCAAAAAUGCAUUAAUACAUUUUAAGCUAGUUUUAUAAGUAUUCAUUUAAAAAUUCUCUAAAACGAAGACGAGAUUCGAUAUUUGGCAAUUCGCGGAAUAGUUCCCUAACGUGUUGGGUUGCAAUUUCGCGGUUGCUCAAAAUAAUCGAAUAUCCCUUCAAAAUUUCACUCAUGCCUUUUAAAAAUUCUUUUAAACGAAGGCGAUGUGCGAUAUUUGGCAAUUCGCGGAAUAAUGCCCUAACGUGUUGGGUUGCAAUCUCGCGGUUGCUCAAAAUAAUCGAAUAUCCCUUCAAAAUUUCAUUCAUGCAUUUUAAAAAUUCUUUAAAACGAAGGCGAUACUUGAUGUUUGGCAAUUCAAGAAUUGUGCCCUAUCGUGCUGGGUUAAAAAUUCUUUUAAACGAAGGCAAUACUUGAUGUUUGGCAAUUCAAGAAUUGUGCCCUAUCGUGCUGGGUUGCGAUUUCUCAUUUGUUCAAAAUAAUCGAAUCUUCCUUUAGAAUUUCACUCAUUUUUUUAAAAUUUUAAAAUAAGGCAAGGUCCGAUGUUUAGAAAUUCGAGGAAUCGUGCCCUACUGUGCUGGGUUUCGAUUUUUUUCGUUGAACUAAACAAUUGGGCAUCCUUUUAUAGUUUUUCAAAAAAAAUAAACUUUCGGAAGUCGAAACAAGAAGAUUUUUGGCAAUCAACUCGGGUUAUUCAAAAAAGAACCACAUUUCAAAAACAUCUUUAAAUUUUAGACAUAAGGACAGUAUUUAAUCGAUUCGGUACCAAUUUUGGGCGUAGUGAGGGUGCUAAUCCUUCCUCAUACGUAACCGACUCCCGAACCUGUUUUCUCAAAAGUUCGUAGACCAAAAUCGUCGUUUUAGUAAACCAAAAUGUUUUAUUAAAAUAACCGAAUUCUUAGGUGAUCCGGUCACACCAAAACAAAAGAUCAGUGGCGGCUCCAUGUUUUUAUUUUCAAAAAGUCGAUUCCUGUUUUUUUUUAAAUUAAAUUUUAAAUAAAAAGGGAUGGUUUCGACAUCCAUAAUACUACAAUAUUAGACUAAGGGUGGGUUUGGGGCGGCGGUGCGGUGCGGUGCGGUGCGUUUAGCUUACUUUUUGUCUCACGCUACAGUAUCGCUACAGUAUCUAAUCUCACCUCCACCGCUAUUUUUACACUAACCGCAAGUAAACGCACCGCCCAUCUAAACUCACCUUAAAUUGGGUAGAAUUUUUCAGUAAAAAUUUGUUUCAGAAUCACAUUUUACACAAAAAAAGUCCCAAGUAUCGAUACCACCACUAAGGUAUCGAUACUAUAACUUAGGUAUUGAUGCCCUAUGUUGUAUCAACACUGGUCUAAGCUUCAAAGUUGAAAAAUUUAAGAAAAAAACCUCAAAUAUCGAUAUUUUGCUCAAAUAUCUAUACUUUUUUCAAAGUAUCGAUACUUGACCUUUGGUUUCAGUACCAAAAUGUCAUUAUGUGAUUUCUUUUCAGUUUGGGUUGAUUUGCCCAAUUAGUCUUUCACCUUUUGUCCAUUUAGUCCUGUUUGCUUCACCAUUUAAAACUAUAUCAAUUCACCUCUCUACUUUGCAUUUUUAACUACCCAUUCCAUAUUUAUAACUUCUAACUCAUAGUCAUGUGUAAUAUUUCAUGUAAAUUAAACAAGUUUCACACUUUACAUUUUAGUCUUUUGACGUAUUCUUACAAAAAUACUUACCUAGGUACAUGCCAUUUAAUGUAAUAACAGAAAAUAAAACUUUACCCUUUUUCUUGGGUCCACUGAUGUGUUGAUGUGAUGAGAUGCGACCAAUCCACCAUGUCUUUUACUUACUUCUAUAUACCUAUGCAUAUAAAACACGCAUUAAGCUUUCGCAAACUUAAUAAGUACAAUCAGAAAUUUAAUUAAUAUUUUCAUCUGUCACAGAACUUAAUUUCUUAUUAAUAUUUACACUAUCAUUUAAUGACUUGUUUGUAUUCAUCAUUCAUGAUCUAUCAUCCAAUUUAUAGGUUUUUUCAAUUAAGUCCAUUAUGACAUAGUUAUUCAUUAUUCAUCAAUUAACCAUAUUUAAUAUUUUUCAUUCUUAUAACACUUAAGUCACAUGACUGUGUUUCAAUUUCUCAUUUCACUAUUUAAAGUUCCAUGUAUUUCACUAUUCUUAUUUUAACCAUAUAAUUUCUCAAUUUUCAUAAUUUGAUUACUUUUCAAUACAUAUAAUUUUUAUAAUUCAAUAGUCAAAUAAAACAAUCUUGUACCUUUUUUUUGGAGGCUUAGUAGACUUAACAUAACACAUAGGAUAUACGAAAUAUAAUAGAACAUCGCCGAAGUGGAUAAACAGAGAUGCAUUGAAUUGUAUAAGCAGAGAGCAUAAAUGUGCUAAACAGAGAGAACUGAUGUGCUGAUAAUCAGAGCACAUGCUAAGGUUCUUUAAUGGCAUGCCACUAAUAUCUCACUAGUUCCUAUCUCGUCUCUUUAGACAAAUCAUAUCAAAUACAGAUACAUUUGCACUUUUCAGAACGAAACUUUUAUAUUUUACAUUUAUUUUACUUUAGUCCUUGUAACCACAAUUCAUAUAACCUAAGGUUUCCACUUUCCAUUGCACUUGUAACAUAUUUUGAUGCUUAAUAAUAUUCUCAUAUUUCACUACAAAUUCUCAUUAUAUUAUUCACAUGUCACUUUUGCAUAUUAUACAAUUUAGUCCUUAAGACAUCAAUUCAAUAAAUAGAACUCUCAUUGCUUUUAAUAUAAGUAACAUGUUUCAUUACUUAAUAUAAUUCCCAUAAUUCGUCACUAAUUUUUAUCAUAUCCAUCUCCUAUCACAUUUACACUUAUCACUACAAGUAACACAUUUCAUUACUUAGUAAAAUCCAAAUAAUUCAUUAUAAAUUUUUACUAUAUCCUACACAUAUAAUUUUUACACAGUUUUCAAUUUAGUCCUUAUCUUUACCAUGUUUCAUCAUAUACUUUCAUGCAUCAUCAUAUCAUCUCACAUAUCAAUUCUUUCACAUAUUUCACUUCGAGUACACACUUACUUAUAAUUAUCACACUACCAUAAAAUUUUCUGUCUUUUAGGAUUGAGUCUCUUUUUUUUUUCCUCAUUUUUUAAUCAUUUUCUUGUCUUUCUUCCUUUUUCUUUUUAACAUAUAUUUAGUAAACGCAACCAAUUUAUCAUUCCCAUAUGCCUAAUUGUUAUCAAGUCUUAUUCCUCAUUAUAGAAUAUGUAAACUUAUCACCUUAUCAAAGUAUUUAUUCAUUUAAUUAAACCUAUCUAUUAACAACAUAUUUUAAAUAAAUAAUAAUAUAAUUGUAGUUACUAUACAAAGCUUGGAAUUAAACUUUCUUCUCCAUUUUUCCUUCAUAAAAAAACUAUCCAAAUAUUCUUUAUUUUAAUUAUUACACUUUUUACCCUCCAAUCCUAAAUCAUGACACUCUCCAUAAUUUUUAACAUAAUUACCAUUUUACCCUUCAUCUUUUUCUAUAAUUUCAUGUAUGAUUCAUACUUCAUUUUGGUUUAUUUACACCUCUAAGUCUCUCCUCCUCUUUCCAUAAUUCAAUUUAAUUAUUCUAUCUUUUAUUAUUAGUAGAUAUUCCGGAUUUAUUUUUUUUCUCAAAGCAAGACUUUUCCCGUUGCCUUCAGUAUCUGUUUUCGUUGUCUUAUAAUACUGAUAAUCUUUGAUUUCUGACUUUAUCAAAUUAUAACUAUAUUAUCACUUAAUUGCCACUGCUCCGAGCUUCGGAAAAUUUAUGUUAGAUAAAAAAAAAAUUACCAAUAUUGAUAAGAUUAACAACAUAUUAGGUCUUCAUUUAAUUGAUAGAGCAGGAGCAGCUGAGACUUACAGUUGGGCACAAUAAAUGGAUGAGUUGGUCGGUUGAUUUUAGUUGGUUUGUUCUACAAAGACUUAAAUCUUGAUAAAGAAAGGGCCACCAUUACUUGUCAAUCUGUAAGAGUAAAAACUCUACACUCAUAAUACUAUAUAUAAUAUCCACUUCCAAAGACAUUUGCAUAUGUAGAUGCCAUAUAGCUACUUAAGCAUGGCUUCUAAACCAGGAAUCCUCACUGACUGGCCAUGGAAGCCUCUUGGAAGCUUUAAGGUCUUGUUGAUUUCAUUUUUUAAAUUUUACGAGUUCUUUUUUUUUUUAAUUUUAAUUUGUGGUUUGAUGGAUUUUUACAGUAUAUACUCCUAGUUCCUUUGAUAACGGAACACAUAUACUCGUUUAUGGAGAAGGAUGAAGAUAUAGACGUGUCCAAGCUGGUAUUAUUCCCAUUUAUGUUAUGGAGAAUGCUUCAUAACCAGCUAUGGAUUAGCCUUUCUCGUUAUCUAACUGCCAAAGGCACCAACAAGAUUGUGGACAAGGGCAUUGAAUUUGACCAAGUGGACAGGGAGAGAGACUGGUGAGCAACAAAUUUUUUUUUUUUUUAAUUACUCAAUGACGACAAUUAAUUAAUUAAUGGCUGCAUGCAGGGAUGAUCAAAUAAUGUUCAAUGCAAUCCUGUUUUACUGGGGCAACAAAUACGUUCCAGGAGGUUCACACUUACCCUUUUGGAGAUUGGAUGGUGUGAUUAUAACCAUGUUGCUCCAUGCCGGCCCUGUGGAGUUCCUUUAUUACUGGCUUCAUAGAGCACUGCAUCACCAUUAUCUUUACUCUCGAUACCAUUCUCAUCAUCAUUCCUCCAUUGUCACUGAGCCUAUUACUUGUAAGACUUCAUCACCUACGUACGUAAUUUAAUCAAUCAAUCCACAUGGUUAUAUGGCACUGAUCCAUCUGUGGUUGUGGCAGCUGUGAUUCAUCCAUUUGCAGAGCACAUUGCAUACUUCCUCCUGUUUGCAAUACCCAUCUUGACAACGGUGCUAACUGGUACUGUCUCCAUUGUUGCCCUAGCUGCUUACAUUACUUACCUGGACUUUAUGAACAAUAUGGGCCACUGCAAUUUCGAGCUUAUUCCUAGCUGGCUCUUCACCCUUAUCCCUCCUCUCAAGUACAUCAUUUAUACUCCAUCGUAAGUCCUUCACUCAAUUAAAUAAUUUUAAAUUAAAUGCCUACCUACGAUACUUUAUUGUGUAAAGACGGUCUUGCUUUAACAACAGGAGUAUUAUGAUAAUAUUUUUAUUUUAUUCAUGCAUUAUACUUGCUAUCUUAGUUAUUACAGUGUAUGCUACUGCACUUUAAAUGAAGUCACGAGCAAAUUAUAAACAAAUAAGAUAAUUUGGGUAAAAAUAUUUGUUUGUCCACAAUUUUGUUCUAUCUGGGUUCAAGAUACAAGACUUUUGAAGGCAACCAAGAAUAAGGAUACUUAUAUAGGUUCAUUAAAAGUAAAACUAAAAUUACUAAGGAAUAUUUAUAAAAUAUAUUUUAUUUAAUUUUAAUUACAAAAAUUAAUUGAGUAUAUUGAUACCUAAACAAAGACAUUUUAUUAAUCAAAUCCUUUCAUUACAAAUAUUAUUAAUUUUUCAUUUUGUGACGUAUCAAAUUUUCCUAAACUUUAAAAUUAACUAAAAAUUUUAAAUUUAAAAAAAAGGGCAAGAUAGUUAACCUUUGCUAGGUCUCCUCGUAAUUUUAAUAUGGUUGAAUAUUUAAUUUUAGGUUUUUAGAAUUUUCGAAGGUUUAACACAUAGUCAAAGUCAUUUUUUUUAUAUAAUUUAUAGUUUUAAUUUGAUUUUCGUUGGUACUUUUUAAAGUUUUUAUUUAGUUUUUGCGAUAAAGUUCUCUCUUUUUUUUUUCUUUUUUUUUUACUUUCAUUUUUUUUGUUAAUUUAAGGUUUUCUCUUUUAUUUCUUUAAUUUUAGAUUAUUUUUAAAAUAUUAAUCACUAUUAAUUAUUUUUAAUCAGUAUGCUUUCCUUAAGCAUAAUAAUUAAUGAUAAUAACACCUAGUAAGAGUAUGAAUAUAUUUUGUGAAUACUGGACAGGUUUCAUUCGCUGCACCACGUACAGUUUAGAACCAAUUACUCGUUGUUUAUGCCAUUUUAUGAUUACAUCUAUGGCACAAUGGACAAAUCUAGUGAUACCUUAUAUGAAAAAUCACUGAGAAGGAAAGAAGAAUCACCCCAUGUGGUGCAUCUAACGCACCUAACCACACCCGAGUCUAUUUAUCAUCUCCGACUUGGAUUUGCCUCUUUCGCUUCUAAACCGUACACACCAUCAACUUGGCACAUGUGGCUUCUUUGGCCUGUCACACUGUGUUCAAUGAUGCUUACCUGGAUAUAUUGUUUCACUUUU